rnacentral:rRNA from 1 species
AUGAACGCUAGCGGCAGGCUUAAUACAUGCAAGUUGAGGGGCAGCAUGAUAUACGCGAGUAUAUUGGAUGGCGACCGGCGGACGGGUGAGUAAUAGGUAGGAGACCUACCUCAUACAGGGGGAUAGCAUAGAGAAAUCUGUGGUAAUACCCCAUGAGGUUAUAUGAAUAGAGGCAUAUAAUCAAAGCAUAAGCGAUUAUGCGGUAUGAGAGGGGCCUACUGACCAUUAGCUAGUUGGUGAGGUAAGGGCUCACCAAGGCGAAGAUGGUUAGGGGUUUUGAGAGAGAGACCCCCCACAUUGGAACUGAGAGACGGUCCAGACUCCUACGGGAGGCAGCAGUAGGGAAUAUUGGGCAAUGGGCGAAAGCCUGACCCAGCCAUGCCGCGUGAAGGAAGACGGCCUUAUGGGUUGUAAACUUCUUUACUACGCGAAUAGAGGUUAGUACGAGAUACUAAUAGGAAGGUAGUGUAGUAAAAAGCACCGGCUAACUCCGUG